UAAGGAAUAUUGGUCAAUGGACGCAAGUCUGAACCAGCCAUGCCGCGUGAAGGAUGAAGGCCCUCUGGGUUGUAAACUUCUUUUAUCUGGGACGAAAAAAGCUCUUUCUAGAGCACUUGACGGUACCAGAGGAAUAAGCACCGGCUAACUCCGUGCCAGCAGCCGCGGUAAUACGGAGGGUGCAAGCGUUAUCCGGAUUUACUGGGUUUAAAGGGUGCGUAGGUGGGCAGGUAAGUCAGCGGUGAAAUCU
rnacentral:rRNA from 1 species